rnacentral:rRNA from 1 species
UCUGCAGGUUGAUAUUUAAGUCUUUUGUUAAACCUCCGGGCUCAACCCGGAAUCUGCAAAGGAAACUAUCUAUCUUGAGUAUGGUAGGGGUAAAGGGAAUUUCCAGUGGAGCGGUGAAAUGCGUAGAUAUUCGGAAGAACACCAGUGGCGAAGGCGUCACACUGGCUCAUUACUGACGCUGAGGCUCGAAAGCGUGGGGAGCAAACAG